UAGAUGUGUAUAAUGACAAGGGUAUGACAGGUAUUACAAGGAGAAGGUGACUUUUCAGGACAUUACCCCAUGUCCCCACUUUUCAAAACGCUUAUAAAUCACACAGAAUGGAGUGUAUUGAAAAUCUGAAAUAGCAGAAAGUCUCCUGUAAGGGGUAGGUUUAGGUGUAGGGUUGGUGUAGGACAAUAGCACAUACAGUUUGUACAGUAUAAAAACCAUUACGCCUAUGGGAUGUCCCCACUUUUCACAAAAACAAACGUGUGUGUGUGUGUGUAAUUUAUUUCAUUUUAUUUAUUUAUUUAUUUUAUUUUAUUUUUUUAAAUAAUCUAAGAUGUAGGCUACAAUCAUUACCUCAUGUUAUAUUUUUCCUGGCAAAAAAAAAAAAAAAAAAUCAAUAGAUAUAAAUGUAACUUUAACUAUUUGACACCUCACGUGCAAAGCCCGCGAAAGAACCGGAGGUUAUAUAAGCUGCGGUCGUCACGUGACGCGCACAGCCGGACUCUGAGUGGACGUCGCCUGACGGGAGAGCUUUCAAGAGAUUGUCAUCCGAUUGUUCUGCUCCACAGCACAGCACAGGCUUUGGCUUUUGUGCUGGAUGGAGAAACUGAGAAGUUUAUAAACAGAAGGCAUGGAAGAAGAGAGCAGGUCCUAAAACAAAGAAAUUCUUCUUAAGGAUAAACCUGAGGUCCUGGGAGUUCUUAGAGGUUCUAAAGUGUUUUUUAUGCAUUUGUUGAUGUCAAAUUUUCAAUAAUAAAUUCAAAUAAAUUCUCAUAGUUUUUACAUUAAUAUGGUGUCAUUCUAUGGUGUGUGUAAUAUUUGUGGAAACAACAUUGUUAAAAAAAAUACUGGCUUUAAUAAUACAUUUUUUGUAGUUUUUAGAGAACCAAUUAAUUACAUGAACAGUUUUUUUUUUCAUGUAGGCUAUAUAUAUAAUUAUAUAUAAUAUUGUUUUGGUAAAUUUUGUUGUUGUUGUUAUUAAUUAAAUUAAUAUUGGUUUGUAUUUCAUAUACAUUUCCAUUUGGUAUCCAGACUAAUUGUAUAAUCUAUGCUGGCGUGAUUGUGGCCUGAUGCCGGCAGUGUCGGCUCAGUUUCGGCAACCGGACUCGGACCAGCGUACUCGGGCCGAUUCUAGCGCGUCAUUCACUCCCGUAAUUCACAAGAGUCCGGCAACCGCAUCCCAUGCUGGUCACCAGCAUACCACCACCAUCCCAUGCUGGUCACCAGCGUACCACCAGCAUCCCAUGCUGGUCACCAGCGUACCAGCGUACCACCAGCAUCCCAUGCUGGUCACCAGCGUACCACCAGCAUCCCAUGCUGGUCACCAGCGUACCAGCGUACCACCAGCAUCCCAUGCUGGUCACCAGCGUACCAGCGAACCACCAGCAUCCCAUGCUGGUCACCAGCAUAAUACCAGCACCAAAACACAACAUAUGCUGGUCUAUGCUGGUUUUUCCAGCAGGGAAUGUAGCUCAGUUCACGAACAUGACACUAUUGAGCCAGGCCUUUUUGGACAAUUUCAGUGUCCAAUUUAUUAACAAAUAACUCUUAUGAACCCGCUCAUUUAAUGAAGAGCUGUAUGUUAUUUCCAGUCGGUCUAAAUUCAUUAUAUUGAUACUAACUAUCUCAUCUAAACAGAGUGAUAUGUAAUCGCGUGGUAAAUUAAACUAACAAAUACAACACAGGUAGCAUAACAUGCACAUAAAAGUACAGCAGAAGCACUUAAUCUACGUGAAAUUACUCACCAGCAAAAACUGAUGAACUGGUUUCUCGCAGCGGGCCAGCUGACGAUUACUUCCUCGGAGAAAUACCAUUCUUCCUUAAUUAAUGUUUCGUCGUGAAUGUGCGUGUCUUCAGUGUAACUCGAUAGACCUGUUUCUACUGCGUUUUCUUCGAAAAAAGAAAAUAAUCAGAAAUGCAACAUUUUACAAACUGUCUGGUUGGCGGUUGGCGGUUGAGAACGGCUUGACGUCACGGUUCAAAAUCCAAAAGUGCGCCAAAGUCUGAGCUUCACCAUUGCCAUGGAAACGGGCAGCAAGCAACGCAAGCGUAAAUGCCUGUGUGCAUAAUAUCAUUAUUAAUGUUAUUACGUUAAUGUGUAUAAUUAUAAUAAUUGAUUAUUUUGUGUACUAUACACACAGACGCGCGCGCGCACACACACACACACACACAUACAUACAGUAUAUAACACACAAUACAUACUGGACUAUAUUUCAUAUCUUAGAAAUACUGAUGUUGUCAUUACAUUAUAGCUGUUACAGUUACAAUAUAACACAUUUGUCAUAAAUUAAAUUUAAAUCAUAAAACGAAAAUUUUUGUGAGAAUGUACUAUCUAGGAAAUUAAUUUUUGUAGUUUAAUAAAAUUUUCAGUUAUGAUAAAGUGAGAUCAGACAAUUGUUUAUAUUGUAAAAAUACUUUAGCAGUUUGGCAUUUUUAUCAUAUAUUAAUUCAGAUAGUAACCUUAAAAAUACCACAUUACUUUAUUUGACAUACUGCACUCACCUGCAUUAUUUCUGCCAGCUAGAUGUCAUUGUUUUGGAAAUAUCACACAGAAACAAUACAUAUACCAUUCAAAUAAACACAUUGUAUUUUCUGUAGUAAAUUCAUGCUGUAUAGAAAGUGAUGUGGUAAUCCUGUCAUAUUUAGCUUGUGUUGGAAUUACAACAGAAAAACCACAUACAACAUCUAAUGGUAAAUUCUUGUGAUACUGUACAACAGAAAGUGCUGUGGUAAUCCUGUCAUAUUAAGCUCUGCUCAUUUGUUGUGUGGUAAAUUUAUGUAGUACUGCUGCAGUACCACAGGAAUACCACAGGACAUUUUUGUAAGGGUUUGUAAUGUUGUUUUGCACUUCCCGGCCACUGUACUUCUCUCCUUCACUUUACAUGUAUACAUGACAAACCCUUACAACAGCUCCCUCUAGUGGUACAUCUUAAACAACAGACUUUAUAAAUGAACACGACAUACUUGAUCUAAUAUUUGAUGUUUUUUAAAAUGUUGUAGAUUUAAGUAGCAAAUGAGAAUCGCUAAAAAUAAUGCAUAUAUUUUGAGACAAAUGUCUUCUUAAUGAUUUUCAGUUUUGUUUAAGAUAAUUAAAGCUACAGUUGUUAAAUAACAAGAUGUAAAAGUAUGGUAUUUGGGGUAAAAAGUGCCCCUGCUGUCGGGGCUAAAGGCACAGUAAUUAACAUGAUAAUUAAUAGAUGGCUGACUUUCCAUUUAUUGACAUGACUAGAUUCAGAUAAUAAAUAUCAUAUAUGUUGGGUAUAUACAGUAUUAGAGAUAAUCAACAUGUUUAGAAUGAAACCAUCAUAUUUUAAAACUUGAUAUUAAUCAUAUCAUAUAAUAAAAUAUCAUUCGUUUUUACUAUUGUAAAUCUAUAUUCAGUUAUUAUGGGAUCUCCUUCAAUGUUUUCUGAAUGUUUAAAAAUGUUUAAAAUGUUUGUUUUUUUCUUCUGUAUUUUAAAAUAUAUUUUUAUAUUAACAUAUUUUAAUGACAGUAUAUUUAUUGAACAAAAUAAGCAGAAAAUAGUACAAACUUUGCUAA